rnacentral:rRNA from 1 species
AUUGAACGCUGGCGGCAGGCCUAACACAUGCAAGUCGAGCGGAGCGGCGGACGGGGAAGUAAUGCCUAGGAAUCUGCCUGGUAGUGGUGGAUAGCGUUAGGAAACGGGCACGAAUACCGCAUACUAUCAGAUGAGCCUGGGUCGGAUUGGCUUGUGGGUGGGGUAAGGGCCGACCAAGGCGACGAUCCGUAACUGGUCUGAGAGGAUGACCAGGCACACUGGAACUGAGACACGGUCCAGACUCCUACGGGAGGCAGCAGUGGGGAAUAUUGGACAAUGGGCGCAAGCCUGAUGCAGCCAUGCCGCGUGUGUGAAGAAGGUCUUCGGAUUGUAAAGCACUUUCAGUUGGGAGGCGUUACUAGCAGAAUAAGCACCGGCUAACUUCGUGCCAGCAGUCGCGGUAAUAC